rnacentral:ribozyme from 16 species
UCCUUUAAUUCCUUUCUUUUUAUUUUAAUUUUUUUUUCUCUUUUUGU